rnacentral:tRNA from 1 species
GGAUGGGUGGCCGAGUGGUUUAAGGCAAAGGUCUUGAAAACCUUCGUGGGGGUAACUCCACCGUGGGUUCGAAUCCCACCCCAUCCGCCA